rnacentral:rRNA from 1 species
GUCGGACCGCAGAGCUUGCUCUCUGGCGACGAGUGGCGGACGGGUGAGUAAUACUUGGGAAUCUGCCCAGUAGUGGGGGACAACAUUCGGAAACGGAUGCUAAUACCGCAUACGCACUACGGUGGAAAGUGGGGGAUCUUCGGACCUCACGCUAUUGGAUGAGCCCAAGUCGGAUUAGCUUGUAGGUAGGGUAAUGGCCUACCUAGGCGACGAUCCGUAGCUGGUCUGAGAGGACGAUCAGCCACACUGGGACUGAGACACGGCCCAGACUCCUACGGGAGGCAGCAGUGGGGAAUAUUGGACAAUGGGCGCAAGCCUGAUCCAGCAAUGCCGCGUGUGUGAAGAAGGCCUGCGGGUUGUAAAGCACUUUCAGUAGAGAAGAAAAGCCUAGGGUUAAUACCCCUGAGUCUUGACGUAACCUACAGAAGAAGCACUGGCUAACUCCGUGCCAGCAACCGCGGUAAUACGGAGGGUGCGAGCGUUAAUCGGAAUUACUGGGCGUAAAGCGCGCGUAGGCGGUUUUGUUAGUCGGAUGUGAAAUCCCCGGGCUUAACCUGGGAACUGCAUUCGAUACUGCUUAACUAGAGUAUGGUAGAGGGAAGUGGAAUUUCCGGUGUAGCGGUGAAAUGCGUAGAUGUCGGAAGGAACAC